rnacentral:tRNA from 1 species
GGGGAUGUGGCUGGGUGCAGAGUGCAUGCUUAGCAUGCAUGAGGCCCUGGGUUUGAUCCCCAGCACCACUG